rnacentral:tRNA from 1 species
UGGGGUAUAGCCAAGCGGUAAGGGACUUUGACUCCCUCAUGCGUUGGUUCGAAUCCAGCUACCCCAG